rnacentral:rRNA from 1 species
CAUGCAGUCGAACGAUGAAGGCNCCUGCUUGCGGGGGUUGGAUUAGUGGCGAACGGGUGAGUAAUACGUGAGUAACCUGCCCCUUUCUCUUGGGAUAAGCCUUGGAAACGAGGUCUAAUACUAGAUAUUCUGCUUCUGCCGCAUGGUGGGGGUUGGAAAGGUUUUUUCUGGUGGGGGAUGGGCUCACGGCCUAUCAGCUUGUUGGUGGGGUGAUGGCCUACCAAGGCGUCGACGGGUAGCCGGCCUGAGAGGGUGACCGGCCACAUUGGGACUGAGAUACGGCCCAGACUCCUACGGGAGGCAGCGGUGGGGAAUAUUGCACAAUGAGGGGGGUCUGAUGCAGGGACGCCGCGUGGGUAAUGAAGGGUUUAUGUUUUUCAACACAUUUUAAGGCUGAGGAUGGCUAAGGUGGGAG